rnacentral:rRNA from 1 species
UACGAGGGGUGCAAGCGUUGCUCGGAAUUAUUGGGCGUAAAGGGUAGGUAGGUGGUCUCAUUUGUCUGGGGUGAAAGCCUUGGGCUUAACCCAAGAAGUGCCCCGGAAACGGUGAGACUAGAGUCCUGGAGAGGGUCGUGGAAUUCCCGGUGUAGCGGUGAAAUGCGCAGAUAUCAGGAGGAACACCGGUGGCGAAGGCGGAUCUCUGGGCCUUACCUGACGCUGAGGCGCGAAAGCCAGGGGAGCAAACGGG